UACGGAGGAUGCAAGCGUUAUCCGGAUUCAUUGGGUUUAAAGGGUCCGUAGGCGGAUUUUUAAGUCAGAGGUGAAAGCCUACAGCUCAACUGUAGAAUUGCCUUUGAUACUGGAAGUCUUGAGUAUAAUUGAAGUGGGCGGAAUACGUCAUGUAGCGGUGAAAUGCAUAGAUAUGACGUAGAACACCGAUUGCGAAGGCAGCUCACUAAGUUAUAACUGACGCUGAGGGACGAAAGCGUGGGGAGCAAAC
rnacentral:rRNA from 1 species